CAUGUUUGCGGCUGUCCUUCUGUCACACAUCACCCCUGACUUGUCUCCACCCACCCUGUCUGUUGACCCCAGCACAUACCUCAUCCACCUGUCCACGCUCUCUCCCACCUGUCUCCUACACUCUCACUACAGAUCACAAUAUCAUCUGCAAACAACAGAGUCCACGGAGACACCUGCCUGACCCCAUCUGUCACACUCCUGCCUCCAUCUUUCUUAGCACACGACGGGCACAUUCUGUGUCCUCGCGUGGUAAAAAGACAGAUUGUUUCCUAUGGGAACAGUUUAUAAUCUUCAUUUUUCAGCCAAAAAAAUACUGUCUAACACGGAGAUGAAGCAGCUAACAUAUUCACAACCAAUAUUCUGCAAACACCUCAAGGCAAAUAAAGUGACAGCUGUUGCAAUUUU